rnacentral:lncRNA from 1 species
GGUGUCCCUAUCCAAGUCUCCAGAAAUAGGACAGCAGCCAUUCCAGGUAGCAGGGGAAUGGCCCUUCCUCACUUUCUGACGAUUUUUUUUUACGCUCUUCUGUCUUUGGGGAAAGCGGCAGGCUAAGGAAAACCGGGAAGCCACGCAGACCUCUGCCUGUGACACAGCACGUGGGCUGGCCUCUGGCAACUGACAGAGGGAACAUUGCUGCUGAUGCGAAGAAAAGUCAUCAGAGAUUCUAAAAAAUAACGACUAUGGCGGAUAAGCAAGGAGGGACAGGAGGUGACCAAGGCCACAGUGGGGAGAGACCUAGCAGAGAGAGCACCCACCUCAAUCAGGCCACAGCCGGGACGGAGGUUCUGAGCCACGUCUCCUGAGUUCAUUUACUCGGUGGAAGUCAAUCUUAAUUGUCAAUUCGAUGAGAUUUUUAAUCGCCAUGGAAACAGACCUCUGAGCAUGUCACGGAGACAGUUUCUAUAUCAGGUUAAUCGAGGUACAUCUGAGGUACAACAGUCUACCUCAUAGUGGCCUCUGACAGUCCAAAGCACGAGCGGUCAUUGCCAGGGCAGCUCCAUUGUCUGCCAGAGCCCUCUCUGCUCUGCUUAUAGCUGUCUCAUGCCAGCCGAGUCGCUUCAGCAUGCAGGUGCCUGCCUCUGCUCACCCCCUGUCAGUUCCCAGGUAUGGCAUGAAGGGUAAUGCCCCGGUGUCUCUAAUGACAGUCAUCACCUACCUCACAGUUCUAGGAGCCUCGUGUCUGAGUCUGAGGUAUAAGCAAGAUCCUACACUUCCACGGCCCUAGGAGAGGAUCCUUCAUGCCUCUCCCAGCUACUGGUGAAGGUCACAGUUUGAUCAUCUGACUUAAGGACCCAGUGCCCUGCCAUCUACCCGUUUCUUCACAUGUAGGCAGCUAUGCCCAAACAGUCUCCUUAUGUAAGUGCUACUCACUCCCCCAACCUACAUGCUGCCACCUGACCACUCUGGCAGAGUCACUCUUCACAAUGAGACCACAUGCCAUAAAGAGUCCCUUGAAUAGGCUACGCAAGCCCACACUGCCACCCAACCUCAGAUCCCAUGUUGACCCGUCACUCACAUCCCUUCACUGGGCAUGUGCGGUUCAACUGGCCAGCUGCAGCCUCAGGGUCCCAGGUCUUCACCCUUCCCACAUCCUAUUCACCUUGGAAGUUCCUGUUGGUCCUUCAAAUGGUUAUUAAACUCCUCUAAUGUACAUUAUGUUGGUAAAUAGUCACGUACUGUUUGAGCCCACUGAGUAUCUUGCUAUGGAAGUGGGGUUUGCACUCACAUUUCAGACCAAAGUGUGUUUAUAUCAAGUGUCUUCCAAGACCCUGUGCCCC